AACGAACGCUGGCGGCAUGCCUAACACAUGCAAGUCGAACGAGACCUUCGGGUCUAGUGGCGCACGGGUGCGUAACGCGUGGGAACCUGCCCUUAGGUUCGGGAUAACUCCCCGAAAGGGGUGCUAAUACCGGAUAAUGUCUUCGGACCAAAGAUUUAUCGCCCUUGGAUGGGCCCGCGUUGGAUUAGCUAGUUGGUAGGGUAAAAGCCUACCAAGGCGACGAUCCAUAGCUGGUCUGAGAGGAUGAUCAGCCACACUGGGACUGAGACACGGCCCAGACUCCUACGGGAGGCAGCAGUGGGGAAUAUUGGACAAUGGGCGAAAGCCUGAUCCAGCAAUGCCGCGUGAGUGAUGAAGGCCUUAGGGUUGUAAAGCUCUUUUACCCGGGAUGAUAAUGACAGUACCGGGAGAAUAAGCUCCGGCUAACUCCGUG
rnacentral:rRNA from 1 species